CCGUGCGAAGGUAGCGUAAUCACUUGUCUUUUAAAUAAAGACUAGUAUGAAUGGCAUCACGAGGACUUAACUGUCUCCCCCCUCCAAUCAGUGAAACUGAUCUCCCCGUACAAAAGCGAGGAUAAAUUCAUAAGACGAGAAGACCCUAUGGAGCUUAAAACCAAAAAUCACCUGUUUAAUCUCCUAUAGUAAUUUAGCACCAAAAUAGCAGGCCUAAUUUAGGUUUUCAGUUGGGGUGACUGUGGAGAAAAAUUAAUCCUCCAUGAAGACUUAAGCUUAGAGUAACCGCUCUGUGCAUUAGCAAGUCUAACCUUAUUUGAUCCAAUAUUUUUGAUCAACGGACCAAGUUACCCUAGGGAUAACAGCGCAAUCCAUUUCAAGAGUCCUUAUCGACAAAUGGGUUU
rnacentral:rRNA from 1 species